rnacentral:rRNA from 1 species
AGAGUUUGAUCCUGGCUCAGAGCGAACGCUGGCGGCGUACUUAACACAUGCAAGUCGAACGAGGAUCAUCGGUGUAGCAAUACAUCGGUGGUCCUAGUGGCGCACGGGUGAGUAACACGUGGGUAACCUGCCCUUGAGCUCGGGAUACCCCCUCGAAAGGGGGGCUAAUACCGGAUACGUUCCUCGGAUCGACAGGUCUGGGGAGGAAAGGUGGCGCAAGCUGCCGCUCUUGGAGGGGCUCGCGGCCUAUCAGCUAGUUGGCGGGGUAACGGCCCACCAAGGCUAUGACGGGUAGCUGGUCUGAGAGGACGACCAGCCACACGGGGACUGAGACACGGCCCCGACUCCUACGGGAGGCAGCAGUGGGGAAUUUUCCGCAAUGGGCGAAAGCCUGGCGGAGUGACGCCGCGUGUGGGACGAAGGCCUUCGGGUCGUAAACCACUGUCAGUGGGAAAGAAGGGUGUCGGUGCUAAUACCAUCGGCAUUUGACGGUACCUGCAGAGGAAGCCCCGGCCAACUCUGUGCCAGCAGCCGCGGUAAGACAGAGGGGGCAGGCGUUGCUCGGAAUUACUGGGCGUAAAGGGCGCGUAGGCGGGAUGGCAAGUCGGUCGUGAAAUCCUUCGGCUCAACCGAAGAACGUCGAUCGAUACUGCUGUUCUUGAGGGUUGCAGAGGAGACUGGAAUUCCCGGUGUAGCGGUGAAAUGUGUAGAGAUCGGGAGGAACACCGGUGGCGAAGGCGGGUCUCUGGGCAAUUCCUGACGCUGAGGCGCGAAAGCGUGGGGAGCAAACGGGAUUAGAUACCCUAGUAGUCC